AAGAAAGUGUUGUGGCGGCGUCGUCAGUGGGGGGCAUGAGGGGCCGUGGGUCGCCGCGCCGCAGUGGCGGUGGCGAGCACGUGGCAUAGCCGGGGACGGCGGUGAGCGCCGGGCCGGGGUACCAGCGGUCUGGCGGGGCGAGCGCUACUCCCUGCAUGUGGAAAGUGAGGCGAGCCAGGGAGCCCGGCGGCACCGGCGAGCACCCGGCGGCGCGGUCCUGAGUACCCGGACAGCGGCGGUCGUCUGCCCGCCAUGGAUUGCAGCCUUCUUCGGACCCUUGUGAGCCGAUACUGUGCUGGAGAAGAGAAUUGGGUGGACAGUCGGACUAUUUAUGUUGGGCAUCGUGAACCACCUCCAGGCACCGAAGCAUACAUUCCACAGAGAUUUCCAGAUAACCGAAUAGUCUCAUCAAAGUACACAUUUUGGAACUUCGUACCAAAAAACUUGUUUGAACAAUUCAGAAGAAUAGCUAACUUCUAUUUUCUCAUAAUUUUCCUUGUUCAGUUAAUUAUUGAUACACCAACUAGUCCAGUUACAAGUGGACUUCCACUUUUAUUUGUCAUCACUGUAACAGCUAUUAAACAGGGUUAUGAAGAUUGGCUUCGGCAUAAAGCUGACAAUGCAAUGAACCAAUGCCCUGUUCAUUUCAUUCAACAUGGUAAACUGGUUAGGAAGCAAAGCCGAAAAUUAAGAGUUGGAGAUAUUGUAAUGGUAAAAGAAGAUGAAACAUUCCCAUGUGACUUAAUAUUUCUAUCAAGUAGUAGAGGAGAUGGAACUUGUUUUGUUACAACAGCUAGUUUGGAUGGUGAAUCCAGUCAUAAAACAUAUUAUGCUGUUCAAGAUACAAAGGCAUUUCACAGUGAACAAGAAAUCGAUGCACUGCAUGCUACCAUUGAAUGUGAACAACCUCAGCCUGACCUUUAUAAAUUUGUUGGUCGAAUAAAUGUUUACCAUGACAGGAACGAGCCUAUUGCAAGGCCAUUAGGAUCUGAAAAUCUGCUUCUUAGAGGAGCCACUUUAAAGAAUACAGAAAAAGUAUUUGGUGUUGCUAUCUACACUGGCAUGGAGACUAAAAUGGCGUUAAAUUACCAGUCAAAGUCGCAGAAGCGAUCUGCUGUAGAAAAAUCUAUGAAUGUAUUCCUUAUUGUAUACCUCUGUAUACUCAUCAGUAAAGCACUAAUAAAUACUGUCCUGAAGUAUGUCUGGCAGAGUGAACCAUUUCGUGAUGAGCCAUGGUAUAAUCAGAAAACAGAGCCAGAAAGGAAAAGAAAUUUGUUUCUUCGAGCUUUUACAGACUUCCUUGCAUUCAUGGUUCUUUUCAACUACAUUAUUCCUGUAUCCAUGUAUGUCACUGUGGAAAUGCAGAAAUUUCUAGGUUCUUAUUUCCUUACGUGGGAUGAGGAAAUGUUUGAUGAGGACACAGGUGAAGGACCACUGGUGAAUACUUCUGACCUCAAUGAAGAGUUGGGACAGAUUGAGUAUGUCUUCACAGAUAAAACAGGAACAUUAACUGAGAACAAUAUGGAAUUUGUAGAGUGUUGCAUUGAAGGGCACAUUUAUAUACCACAUGUUAUCUGCAAUGGCCAAAUUCUUCAUGAUUGUACAGGCAUCGAUAUGAUCGAUUCUUCUCCAGGAGGAAGUGAAAAGGAGAGAGAGGAACUAUUUUUCCGAGCUCUUUGUCUUUGCCAUACUGUUCAGGUAAAAGAUGAUGACAGCGUAGAUGGAUUGAAGAAAAACCAUCUCUCAAGAAGGUCUUGUAUAUACAUUUCAUCAUCACCUGAUGAAGUUGCUUUAGUUGAGGGAAUCCAGAGACUUGGUUACACUUAUCUAAGGCUGAAGGACAAUUUUAUGGAGAUCUUAAAUCGGGAAAAUAACAUAGAGAAGUUUGAAUUAUUAGAGGUUUUGAGUUUUGAUUCUGUGAGACGACGCAUGAGCGUAAUUGUUAAAUCUUCAACAGGUGAUAUAUUUCUGUUUUGUAAGGGAGCAGAUUCUUCCAUAUUUCCUAGAGUUAAAGAAGGCAAAAUUGAACAAAUACGAUCCAGAGUUGAACGCAAUGCAGUGGAGGGACUGCGAACAUUGUGUGUGGCAUAUAAAAAGCUCACAGCAGAAGAAUAUAGCAAGGCACAGAAGCUGCUUCAGAAUGCAAAGUUGGCCCUUCAAGACAGGGAAAAGAAAUUGGCAGAGGCCUAUGAGAAGAUAGAAAGAGAUUUUAUUUUACUUGGUGCUACAGCUGUUGAAGAUCGACUACAAGAAAAAGCUGCUGACACUAUUGAAGCACUCCAGAAAGCUGGGAUUAAAGUUUGGGUUCUCACAGGAGACAAAAUGGAGACUGCUGCAGCUACUUGCUAUGCUUGCAAACUCUUCCGGAGAAAUACACAAAUACUUGAGCUUACCACAAAGAAAAUUGAGGAACAGAGUUUACACGAUGUGCUCUUUGACUUAAGCAAAACUGUCCUAAGACACAACGGCAGCUUAACCAGGGAUACUUUCUCAGGGCUUUCAACUGAUAUGCAAGAUUAUGGUUUAAUUAUUGAUGGAGCAGCUUUAUCAUUAAUAAUGAAACCAAGACAAGAUGGGAGCUCUGGUAACUAUAGAGAGCUCUUUCUUGAAAUCUGCAGGAAUUGCAGUGCGGUGUUAUGCUGUCGAAUGGCACCUCUGCAGAAAGCACAGGUUGUAAAAUUGAUUAAGUUCUCAAAGGAGCAUCCUAUCACAUUAGCAAUUGGUGAUGGAGCAAAUGAUGUCAGUAUGAUACUAGAAGCACAUGUUGGUAUAGGAAUUAUUGGCAAAGAAGGUCGUCAAGCAGCAAGAAACAGUGACUAUGCAAUACCUAAAUUUAAACAUUUGAAAAAAAUGUUGCUUGUCCAUGGGCAUUUUUAUUAUGUUAGGAUAUCUGAACUUGUGCAAUACUUCUUUUAUAAGAAUGUCUGCUUCAUUUUUCCUCAGUUUUUAUAUCAGUUCUUCUGUGGAUUUUCACAACAGACUUUAUAUGAUACUGCGUAUCUAACACUGUACAAUAUCAGCUUCACUUCCCUUCCUAUCCUCUUGUAUGGUCUAAUGGAACAACAUGUCAGUGCAGACACACUCAAGAGAGAGCCUUCCCUAUACAGAGAUGUUGCCAAGAAUGCUUUGCUGCGCUGGCGUGUAUUUAUUUAUUGGACAUUCCUAGGAGUGUUUGAUGCUGUGGUAUUUUUCUUUGGUGCCUAUUUCCUGUUUGAAAACACAAUUGUGACCAGCAAUGGACAGCUAAUGACAACCAGCACUCACAUGAUGUUUGGAAACUGGACCUUUGGAACACUGGUGUUUACUGUGCUUGUAUUUACGGUUACAUUGAAGCUUGCACUAGAUACACACUACUGGACGUGGAUAAAUCACUUCAUGAUCUGGGGAUCACUAGUAUUCUACAUUAUCUUUUCUCUGCUCUGGGGAGGAAUUAUUUGGCCUUUUUUCAAUUAUCAGAGGAUGUAUUAUGUGUUCAUGCAAAUGCUGACUAGUGGUCCUGCAUGGCUGGGUAUAAUUCUGCUCAUAACUGUUAGCCUUCUUCCUGAUGUUCUCAAGAAGGUCUUAUGCAGACAGUUAUGGCCUACAGCAACAGAAAGAAUCCAGAAUGCAUCAAGGCACUGUCAGGAGCAUAUCUCAGAAUUCACACCUCUUGCCUGUCUGAAAAGCCCAAGAUACAGGAGCAGUGACUGCAGCAAUUCCCCAGCAAGAAGGUCUAAUUCUCGUUCUAAAAAAAUGAUGUUUACGCACUGGAGAGGCAUUGAUUAUUCAGUACUUCCAUCUGUCUUUGGCUAUUCAAAUAAGAAUUGCCAUUCCAGUGCAGGCUACAGCUACAGUGGGUCAGGUUUGGAAACAUCUGUAUGACAGAACACCGAGUCAAGCCUUUAAAAACAGUUUUGUUGUUUAUUUCUUUUUUUCAGUAAAUGAAACAUGUCACAAAGAUAUUAAACUAUACUUGGGUUUUGCUGUCUGUGAGGUAGUGUUCAGGCAAACGGGAUCAAGAGCUAGAAAUAUGAACCCUUCCAGGCCGAUAGGCCUCUUUUUGUGUUUCGAACUACUGGAGCAAUGAACAACCUGCACAGUCUGGUACUGUGAGACUAGUAGCACUAAAAAUUCUCUUCAUCCUGUGUCAAGACUUCUGUGCAUUUACUGCUUCUGUCAUCUUUAGUCAUUUUCUUUAUUGAAGUGUAUAGUUCCAGUCAAUGACUUACAUUUUGAGAUCAACAGUUUUAAUUUCAACCAGAAGUAAUGACCUCAGUUAUCUCCCAUGAAAGUCUCCUAGAGCAUAUUUAACAAGUGCUUUUUCUGAUUUUAUUCUGUCCUUUUUCUUUCUUUGCUCUUUCUGUAGAACAAACUGGUGUUUCCUCUGUGCAAAUCUGCUUUCAAGAAAUACUCUCUAAUGUUCACUUCCCUCUUUAACAGCAUAAUGUCUCCAUAACUGCUUCUGUAAAUGUCUUGAAACUGGUAAGCACUAACCAAAUGUAUGUGAAGACUUAGAAAGUAUUUUGACUUUUCAGCCACUGAAGUUCAUAUAUUCCUGCAGUGGCUUGUAGCAAAAGACCUCUUUUGGUUUACCAUGUACAAUAAUUGUUUGUUCAGCCACUUAAUGUAACAGCUUACAGUUUACGUUCUUGCUUGCUUUAGCCUGUUUGUCUUGACCCAACUGGCUUGCAAAAAUAAAAAGAAGAAUCAGCUUCAUUGCGCAACUGCACUACUUUCCUUUUGGAAGCCAGUGUGAUCAUUGUGCUCAUGCUACUGUCUCUGUUAAAAAAAGCUUUAAUGGAAAUUUGUGAAAGUAUUAUGAAAGUGAAAAAGUACGUGAUUCUACUUUGCAGAAUAAUCAAACAUCAGUUUAUAUAGCUUUAAUAUUUUCACCUUCUGAAAAUUCCCAGAGUUUUAAUCUGCAUUGUGUCUGACAUCAGUUCUGUGCUAUGUUCACAUUGCAUUUUAAAUGCCCUUUCAGGAGCUCAUGUAAAGUAGAAUCCGCGGAAGUUGCUGUAUGGGGGCUGGCGGUAGUUACCUGUGCGUUAUACAUUAAAGAUUUCUGUAGUCAUCAGCACCAAAUGCUUAUUUUUAAUUGUACACUUAUAGGUGCAUUUAUUUGCAAAUAAAUCAGCCUUCAAGUCUAAUGUUUAGAUUAUCCUAUACCACUUCACUUACUUGAGUUGAAGCGUCAGUGUGUGAAUACAUUACUGUAAGGUUUCUUUUCAGUGCUAUUUUAAACGUUUAUUUCUGUAGAUAACCAAAUGUUACUUGUUUAUAUUCAGUCACAUUUUGGAUCCUCAUGUAGAAUAUAUAAGCAGGGGACAUGAAUCUGCUUGCAAUAAAUAUAAACAAACAAGACUGGUUUAAGUUUGCUCAUGU